rnacentral:rRNA from 1 species
AAAAACUAAAGCCGAACAUCCCCCAAGCCGUUGCACGCUUACGGAAGAAUGAAGCUCCCUCACGAAAGUGGCUUUACACAACCUGAACCCACGAUAGCUAGAAUACAAACUGGGAUUAGUAAACCCACUAUGCCUAGCCGUAAACCUCGACCCUCAUAUACAGCGAGUGUCCGCCAGGGAAAUACAAGCACUAGCUUAAAACCCAAAGGACUUGGCGGUACCUCAAACCCCCCUAGAGGAGCCUGUUCUUAAACCGAUAAUCCCCGUUCAACCUCACCACCUCUUGUUUUUCAGUCUAUAUACCGCCGUCGCAAACUUACCCUGUGAGGGACUCAUAGUAAGUAAAACGGGCACAGCCCAGAACGUCAGGUCGAGGUGCAGCAUAUGAGGUGGGAAGAAAUGGGCUACAUUCCCUACUGUAGGGCACUACGAAUACUGCCAUGAAAUUGGCAACUUGAAGGUGGAUUUAGCAGUAAGAAAAGACCAGAACAUUCUUCUGAAGCAGGACAUGAGGUGCGUACACACCGCCCGUCACCCUCCGCUAGUUCCCGCAUCUCUUGUACCAACAAAAUAGCAAGACAAAGCAGAGGCAAGUCGUAA